rnacentral:rRNA from 1 species
CACGCUGUAAACGGUGGGUACUAGGUGUGGGGUCCAUUCCACGGGUUCCGUGCCGUAGCUAACGCUUUAAGUACCCCGCCUGGGGAGUACGGCCGCAAGGCUAAAACUCAAAGGAAUUGACGGGGCCCCGCACAAGCGGCGGAGCAUGCGGAUUAAUUCGAUGCAACGCGUAGAACCUUACCUGGGUUUGACAUGGAUCGGGAGUGCUCAGAGAUGGGUGUGCCUCUUUUGGGGUCGGUUCACAGGUGG